UACGUAGGUGGCGAGCGUUGUCCGGAAUUACUGGGUGUAAAGGGCGUGUAGGCGGGAAUGUAAGUCAGAUGUGAAAUCCCAGGGCUUAACCCUGGAGCUGCAUCUGAAACUAUGUUUCUUGAGUGUCGGAGAGGAAAGCGGAAUUCCUAGUGUAGCGGUGAAAUGCGUAGAUAUUAGGAGGAACACCAGUGGCGAAGGCGGCUUUCUGGACGAUAACUGACGCUGAGGCGCGAAAGCGUGGGGAGCAAAC
rnacentral:rRNA from 1 species